rnacentral:rRNA from 1 species
CCCAUUUGGGCGUGAGGAGGGAAGGCGGGGGGAGCGACCAGAUUAGAACCCUUGGUAGUCCCCCCGUAACGGUGGAAUUUAGGGUUGGGACCAUUCCAGUUGUCGGUGCGGAGCUAACGCAUUAAGUUCCCGCCUGGGGAGUAGGCCGCAAGGUUAAAACUCAAAGAAUUUGCGGGGGCCGCACAAGCAGCGGAGCAUGUGGCUUAUUGGACGCAACGCGAAGACCUUACCAAGGCUUGACAUACACCGGAAACCGUCAGAGAUGGUCGCCCCCCUUGUGGUCGGUGUACAGGUGGUGCAUGGCUGUCGUCAGCUCGUGUCGUGAGAUGUUGGGUUAAGUCCCGCAACGAGCGCAACCCUUGUCCUGUGUUGCCAGCAUGCCCUUCGGGGUGAUGGGGACUCACAGGAGACCGCCGGGGUCAACUCGGAGGAAGGUGGGGACGACGUCAAGUCAUCAUGCCCCUUAUGUCUUGGGCUGCACACGUGCUACAAUGGCAGGUACAAUGAGCUGCGAUACCGUGAGGUGGAGCGAAUCUCAAAAAGCCUGUCUCAGUUCGGAUUGGGGUCUGCAACUCGACCCCAUGAAGUCGGAGUUGCUAGUAAUCGCAGAUCAGCAGUGCUGCGGUGAAUACGUUCCCGGGCCUUGUACACACCGCCCGUCACUGUCACGAAAGUCGGAAACACCCGAAGCCGGUGGUUCCUAACCCGUUACGGGAGGGAGCUGUCGAAGGUUGGAUUUCGAUA